AUUUCCCAGCUGCUUUCAGUUCUGGAUGAAGAGUCACUGGACUUAAGACCAGAAGACAUAGGAGCAGAAAUUAGAUCUCCAGCAUCUGCAGUAUUUUGCCAUCAUUUUGAUGUCCACUAAUCUGAAUUUGCCUAAUCAUGCCAAGUGCUUUGGCCCCAGUGAGAAUUGAACCCCAUGAUGCUGGCGUUUACCUGAUCUACAUGCUAACUCUCCAGUCAACUGAGCUAACUGGCAC